GGAGUCUGGGCCGUAUCUCAGUCCCAAUGUGGCCGUUCAACCUCUCAGUCCGGCUACUGAUCGUCGCCUUGGUGGGCCGUUACCCCGCCAACUAGCUAAUCAGAUAUGAGCCCAUCUUUCAGCGGAUUGCUCCUUUGGUAUCAGGAGGAUGUCCUCCCGAUACAUUAUGCGGUAUUAGCAGUCGUUUCCAACUGUUGUCCCCCUCUGAAAGGCAGGUUGCUCAUACAUUACUCACCCGUCCGCCACUAAGUCAUAGAAGGCUUUGACGAAUCUCCGUCUUCUAUGCUUCGUUCGACUUGCAUGUGUUAGGCACGCCGCCAGCGUUCAUC
rnacentral:rRNA from 1 species